AAGUCGUAACAAGGUAACCGUAGGUGAACCUGCGGUUGGAUCAUUACUGAAUUAAUAGAAUCGUUAGGCUGAAAGGCCUACGACUCUUGACAUUUUGUGAAUUGUUAAUGUCUCUGGUGGGAGUUUUACCUAAAUUUUUUAGGUUACCCACCAUUUAAACUUUAAAUGUAUUAUUAUUAGCCUUACUUUUUUUAAAUUUUAAUUAAAAAACAACUUUUGGCAACGGAUCUCUAGGCUCUC
rnacentral:misc_RNA from 1 species